GGGUCCUGGAUGGUGAAGAAAAAGAGAGGGUUAGGUGGGGCUUUCAAGGGGCUUCUGGAGAGAUGGAGAUACUAUGAGGAGGAGAUGGACUAGAGGGGACUCUGGAGUCUAGGGCAUCAAGGACAUGGCUGCUUUGUGAGUGGCAUGUGUUUAAAUGAACUGAAUUAUAUGGGUGAUAGCUGAACACUAGAAAAUAAGGCCAUCCCUGGAAAUUGCCACAAAGAGCCCUGGCUCUUUAAGCUGUUUUAGUGUGCGUGGGGGUGUGGUGGUGUCCAUUUGAAUGGGCGCCUCCUCUGGUGGCCUUCUACUCUUUCUUGCCCACUAGUCAUUUGGGUUUCCUUGGGUUCUCCCUGGAUGCUUAUGGGGUUGCAUCAGCUGAAUGCUGGAAGUUGCAGUAGAUCUGUAAUCUUACUUGUCUUCCAUCUCUGUCAAUUCCCACAGCAAGCCUUCAGGACCUUUGCUCCUUACCUUUAGGUUCUGAAAUUCCUUCUCCUCCUCCUUGAGGACCUCCAGCUGCUUCAGAACUGAGUCCUGCUGGAAUUCCCCUCGAUCCAUCUGCAAUGCAAAGGAGGCUUUUCAGUGGAAGAGAGAUGAGUCAACACUUCCAUUUUUUCUCAGAGGCCCCUUUAGCUAAUGACAUUCUAAAGAUAGCCAGCAGAGGGAGCCCUUGCCUAACACAAACAACAUCACCCUGGAAACUGUUGCUUAGAAGAGGAUGGAGGAGAGCGGAUGGACCCACAGAUGCCCAACCACCAAGGAUCCUGCCGGUUCACCUUGUCAACCAGGACUUGUGGGCGCUAGUGGGGCAUUUGGGCUUCCAACUCCACCCAAAUGCUCCCCUGUGAAUAAUCAUAAUAUUCAUCUGGUGCUUUAUUUUGUUCUUGUUUACUAAUAUUUUAUUUUUCCUCAAUUACAUGAAAAAACAUUUUUAACCUUAACUAUCUUUAAGUGUAAGCCAGACUCUCACCUUCCCUCUCUCCCAUUCCCUCCCCAAGACAGCAAGCUGUCUAAUAUAUAUUUUACAUGCAUAAUACUAUAAAACAUCUUUUUCCAUUUUAGAACUUUUGUGAAAGAGAACUUGAACAAAUAAAAGAGAAAAAAUAAAGUGAAA